AUUGAACGCUGGCGGCAGGCCUAACACAUGCAAGUCGAGCGGAUGAGAGGAGCUUGCUUCUCGAUUCAGCGGCGGACGGGUGAGUAAUGCCUAGGAAUCUGCCUGGUAGUGGGGGACAACGUUUCGAAAGGAACGCUAAUACCGCAUACGUCCUACGGGAGAAAGCAGGGGACCUUCGGGCCUUGCGCUAGCAGAUGAGCCUAGGUCGGAUUAGCUAGUUGGUGAGGUAAUGGCGCACCAAGGCGACGAUCCGUAACUGGUCUGAGAGGAUGAUCAGUCACACUGGAACUGAGACACGGUCCAGACUCCUACGGGAGGCAGCAGUGGGGAAUAUUGGACAAUGGGCGAAAGCCUGAUCCAGCCAUGCCGCGUGUGUGAAGAAGGUCUUCGGAUUGUAAAGCACUUUAAGUUGGGAGGAAGGGUUGUAGAUUAAUACUCUGCAAUUUUGACGUUACCGACAGAAUAAGCACCGGCUAACUCUGUGCCAGCCGCCGCAGUAAAAC
rnacentral:rRNA from 1 species